AUCGCCUGCUUUUGGACAGAAGGGUUCCACACAACAUCGAGGGGCACCGCACGCGAUGCUCCAAAGCGGGUAAUACCUUCUCCACACACCUUGGUCGAUGCAAGCAUCACCUUGGCCUCGCUCUCCAUAUCAUUGAAGUCCACCAUCAAGGACUUGUGGGUUUUAACGGAGACAUUUCCACUCCUAUACAGGAGCUGUUGCGUUUGGUCCAGUUGA
rnacentral:rRNA from 1 species